AAAAUUCAAUUUCUACCCUAAUAGAUAUAUCAGUUGAAAUCGAAACGUGAGAGAAGUCGGUCGUAAGAAAUCUUUUAUGUUCUAACGUAAUUUUAUAAAUUUUUCUCAUGUCCACCAUAAUGGCGUAGCAUCUUUUCUUUAUUACAUUGUUUUAAAAACCAACGAUAUAUAAUAGACUUUCGAAGAAUCAACUAUGUAUGGAGGCAAAGGGCGAAGUUUCUUGGCAUAAAAGUAUAUAAGGACAAUACGAACUUCUUUACUUCUUUCAUACAACACCGUCCAACAACACCUCCCCAACCUCCCUAUCUCGCUUACCAUCAACAUUCUCUUGCAUUAAGUGUGACUUUUGGACUGAUACACUCGUUUAUCUAACACCGCAUCCAGUUACCUUGUAUAUCUUCAUGAAUCGUAUUUAUAUCCACGCACACGUGAAUGCACGAGAAGAGAGAGAGAGAGAGAGAGGCAGAGGGAAAUUUAAACAGGACUUUUGAAACUCGUUGCACACACUGAUGCUCGACAUGACGAAUUAGAAUCUGCUUCUAUUGCGAAACGUGAGUGUAUGUAUAUGGUAUCUACAUGGAUAUCUAACAGUAAGGAAGGUCAACCACGACAAAGAGAAAUACGACCGACAUAUUAUUUUUGAAGGACCUUCUUUCUUAAUCUACACGUUUUUAUUUUUAUCGUCUUGAAACUGGCUCUGUCUCGCAAAAUUCAGUGUAAAUAUCAGCUUUCGUUAAGAAAAAAAAAAAAGAAAAGACAAAAAAAGAACAAAAAGAAACAAAAAUAUAAUCGAAUAAAAGAGAAAAACUCCAAACGACAGACAAUUCACGCAACAUUAAAUAAAAAAGAAUAUCUUUUAUAUAUAUAUACAUAUACAUAUUUUAUUUAUAUAUUUAUAUAUUUAUAUAUUUAUAUAUAUAUAUAUAUGUAAAGUUAAUUUCGUCAAUUAUUCAAAACGAUAUUCAGGCUCGAAGUAAAAUUAUUUUCCAUUCCUUUUUCUUUUUUCUGUUUUCUUUUCUUUUUUCUUUUUUUUUUUUUUUUUCUACUCCGAGACGAUCAUUUUUUCCCGAUGAAACUUACAUUCUAUUUAUUUUUCUUCGCGUGCGUUCUUUUACUCUCACGUACAUUGUUCGUCUAUUUUAUAUUUUGCUUUAUUAUGGUUAAUAUUUUUAUGACCAUCUUCGCUGAAGUAUUCGUAGUUCCAAAAAAAAAGAAACGGAGGAAGAUAAAACCUCGAUAAACUUUUUUUCUUAUAUUAUAAUAAAUAUACGAAAAUGUUUCCUAUCGAAACUUCGAGCGGAAAUGUUAGCAGACAAAUAAGAAUAUCGAUAGGGGACGAUGACGACAACAAGAACGACGACGACGACGACAGAUCAUCCGUAAAAGGAAAGUCGAGAAGAAUAAGAGACCCUUUUUCCUUUGGAGCUUUGUCGGGCAUAUAAGUGUCAAGAAAAAGAUGACGAUACAUAAUAAAAAGUAUUAUGGACAUUGAAAUGUUCAUACUUCCGUUUAACAUCUA